UUGACUGCACUGAAAAAUUUCCAGCAGUAGGAUCCCCAGCUUGCCCUUUUGCUGUGAGUCAGUGACCAAAGUCCACAAGCCUUUUCCCUGAGAUCUCCCCCUCCCUGCUGCCAGGCGGGUUUGGCUGGUUCCCAGAUACCCUGAGAAGGCGGGAGGAGGCAGCUUACAAAGUGGGGAUUCGCUGGACCCUCCUUCUCACCCCGUUCUGUGAUAUCUGUUCCCAAAACGAGCUGGAGGCGACAAAGGAACUGAAACCGAUUUGCCCACGGAUUUGUAUGGCAACAAAAUGUCUGUUGGGCACUUGAACACGGACAAGGAUAAACAGAUGUCUGAUAAGCCAUCUUGGAAAGACUAUGCUUUUGAUGACAUAUGGAGGCUCUAUCAUCUUACGGCUACCACCAUGUUGACUGUUCUGGAUUGUGUUCAAUAUACUGUUCUUUGUUCUGGUCCGUAAAGAGAGAUCUCAUGCUUGGUGGAAAGCUCAGCUCAAGAAGCUUUGAAAUGCAGAUUAGAUUAAUUACACUAGAAUUAUAUUUGAAAAUGGAAAAGAAGCAUUUUCUUUUCUUUUCUUCUUAAGGAUUUUAUUUAUCCACUUGAGAGAGAGACAGCACAGAGGGAGAGUGAGAGGGAAAAGCAGACUCUCUGCUCAACCUCGUGUGGGCUGAUCCCAGAGCCUUGGGAUCACAACCUGAGCCCAAGGCAAAUGCUUAACUGACUGAGCCACCCAGGCGCCCGAAAAGAAGCAUUUUCUAAAAGGCAAAUUCCAAAUAUAUGCCUUUUCAAAGAAAGUGUCAUUUGGAAAGAAACUGAAUCACACCAUGAAAUCUGUGACAUUUCUUUUGGUUUCCACUCUCUUCUAUACUAGUGGUAGGCUCAUGUGAUAUGUAGAAAUUUGGUUAACCAAAUUUAGCUUGACUUCUCAAGUUAAGAAAAUGUAUAUGCAGUAUUUCUGAGAUAAGAAGAGGCACAUUCUUUUUUUAGCACCUAUACUUCCUAUGCUGCUGUUUUUGCCUUAUUCCCUUAUUUGAAAAUUUGGCUUUGUUUAUAAAAUCUACAAAUUUCUAUCUGUUUAGAACAGGGCUAGAAUAGCCUGGGAUCCUGUGGAACUGAAUGGUAUUUUAGACUGCUGAUUCUCAUUUUCUCUUCAAUAAAGAUCGCAACACAUUACUUAUAUGUAUUUUAUAGCUCACACCCUGGGGAUUACCCACCUGGGAAAGGGACCUGGAUUCUGGUGCAAGCCUUCUGUUUGCUGAGCUAUGUGUUGUUGAGCAAGUCAGAGGUAAUCAGAGGUAAAAUGAGGGAUUGUUGUCUAAAACUCCAUGAUUCUGUUGUUUAAGUAUAAUCAACUCGAGAGUUUGAUGAUUUCUUUGAAAAUUAAAAAAAAAUUCUAGUAACCUUAAAUGCAUACUGCUGAGCCCUAAAUUUAGUUUUGAAAUAAUGUAAGACAGGGAGAAAGGUUUGGGAGGUCCCUUCCUUUAUAUACAUUUUAUAAAGGGAUAUGUUUGUCUAAGGUAUCACCUGCCAAGAGUUAGGGAUCUAUAGAUGCUACCAGAAUUUGAGAUGUAGAGAUAAGGAUAAUGAUUUUUUUUUUUUAAUUUGGAAAAAAAUGUAAAACAGAAACGAGUAUCUAAUUUUAUUGCCAAUAAUUUGUAGGACUGAAAGUGAUUACACUGUCAUACCCUUCUACAUUGAAUAAACACUGUGCAAAAGGA